UCUCUUUGUUUUAGGGUAUCAUGAAAAUCCACCUCUCCCUCCCCUGAAUCUAAUCCACUUGAGAGUCAACUUCACCCUCUCCAACCUGACCUUCUCUCCAGAACUGCUGGACCCAAAGAGCCCAGUCAGACACAAUGUGACCAGCCUGGUGAUCCAAGCCUUCAAAAACAGCAGUUUGUCUUCUACCUUUUCUUCUUGCAAACUGGUUUCUCUCAGUUCUGGGUCCACCAACGGUACGGCAGUCAGCCUCGAUUGCACCUUCCUCAACAACACAUCAGUAUCUCCCAUUGACAAAGUGACAGCUUACAAGAAGCUGAAUGAGGAAACCAAGAACUGCACCUCCUUGGGAUCAUAUACAAUGAACAGCAAUAGUCUCUAUG